AGAAAGAUUGCGUGCUGGAAAAUAUGGCAUAAAGGUUCGUUGCGUUUGUAAAUCGUUUUGAUUCAGUAUCAACUGUGCUACACAUAACUGCCCGCGGCCGCCUUAGCGGCGACUCAUUUCCUGGGACUUCAAUAACAAUAAGCACUAACAAUCCUGAGUAGAGAAUCAAACCAAGAUUUCAUCAGUUAAAUUUCAUACAGUUAUGUCCAAUCGCAUGAACGGAGCCUAAGCUGUCUACCUGAAGGUGGAUGUGAACCAUUAACAAGCAAACAAGAACAGCAAAGAGAGGACAAAGCAGAGGACUUCUGAACCAAAUACAAAUCAUUUGUCGGCUAAGGGAUUUGGGGAAACGACCGACAACUGCUGUGCAUCAUUAAAGACGGCCCAACACGUACGCAAUCACACGUCCGCCCUGUAGGGAGUGAGCUAUUGCAAAUACUCUGCACAUAUACAUAUACUAUUGCUGACUGACAGUUCAC